rnacentral:rRNA from 1 species
UUCCAGACUCCUACGGGAGGCAGCAGUGGGGAAUAUUGCACAAUGGGCGAAAGCCUGAUGCAGCAACGCCGCGUGAAGGAAGAAGGGUUUCGGCUCGUAAACUUCUAUCAACAGGGACGAAAGAAAUGACGGUACCUGAAUAAGAAGCCCCGGCUAACUACGUGCCAGCAGCCGCGGUAAUACGUAGGUGGCAAGCGUUGUCCGGAUUUACUGGGUGUAAAGGGCGUGUAGCCGGGUUGACAAGUCAGAUGUGAAAUCCUGCGGCUUAACCGCAGAACUGCAUUUGAAACUGUUGAUCUUGAGUACUGGAGAGGCAGACGGAAUUCCUAGUGUAGCGGUGAAAUGCGUAGAUAUUAGGAGGAACACCAGUGGCGAAGGCGGUCUGCUGGACAGCAACUGACGGUGAGGCGCGAAAGCGUGGGGAGCAAACAGGAUUAGAUACCCGCGUA